UACGUAGGUGGCAAGCGUUAUCCGGAUUUAUUGGGCGUAAAGCGAGCGCAGGCGGUUGCUUAGGUCUGAUGUGAAAGCCUUCGGCUUAACCGAAGAAGUGCAUCGGAAACCGGGCGACUUGAGUGCAGAAGAGGAGAGUGGAACUCCAUGUGUAGCGGUGAAAUGCGUAGAUAUAUGGAAGAACACCAGUGGCGAAAGCGGCUCUCUGGUCUGUAACUGACGCUGAGGUUCGAAAGCGUGGGUAGCAAACAGG
rnacentral:rRNA from 1 species